GCUGAUAACAACAGACACAAACAUCCACCAAUCACCAAACAAACCAUUUGACCCUCCAAGUAGAUGUGAUCGAACAGAAAACAGCGCCUUAGUACCGUAAGGGAACCCAUUAAGCAAACAAUAGCAAAGACUAAUCCUUGUACCUUUUGUAUCAUGGUUUAGCAAGUAAAAUAGAACAAGAUGAAUCGAGCUCCACCCCCCGAAACUAGAUGAGCUACUUUAGAGCAGCCCAAAGGGCACACCCUUCUCUGUAGCAAAAGAGUGGGAAGACUUAAAAGUAGAAGUGAGACGCUUAUCGAAUCUAGAGAUAGCUGGCUACCCAAUAAAGAAUCUAAGUUCCACUUUAGAACUAAAAAUAACUAAUUAUUUAUCUAAAGAUAAUCAAUAGGGGUACAGCUCUAUUGAAACAGGAUACAACCUGAAUUUGAGAGAACAUACAACCCCUCCCCCUGUAGGCCUUAAAGCAGCCACCUAAUAAAAUAUCGUUAAAGAAUUAACCUAAAAACCCAACCCCGUCAACUUAACUCCAAAUUAACUAAAGGUAGGCCCAUAAACAUGGACACUAUUAUGCUAAAACUAAUAAUAAGACAACCUCUCUACAACGCACCUCUCCGCUAGAAACGGAUACCCACUAGCCAUUAACAGACCACAAUAGGCAACUAACAAACCAAUAUAUACCUUCACAUCAACUGUGACUCCAACACAGGUGCGUAAACAAGAAAGAUCCACUACUAUAAAAGGAACUCGGCAACCACAAACCCCAUCUGUUUAACAAAAACAUAACCUUUAGCUCAUACCAAUAUUAAAGGCAACACCUGCCCAGUGAAUAUUUAACGGCCGCAGUACCCUAACUGUGCAAAGGUAGCAUAAUCAUUUGUCUAUUAAUUGUAGACCGGCAUGAAUGGUAAAAUGAGGGUCUAACUGUCUCUUAUAGUAAAUCAAUUAAACUGAUCUCCUAGUAAAAAAGCUAGAAUAAUAACAUAAGACCAGAAGACCCUGUGAAGCUUAAACUAAACCAUUAAACCAAAUAACGGUUACUUUCGGUUGGGGCGACCCUGGAAAAAAAAAGAACUUCCAAUCUAUGUACCACUCAACAGGCCCACAAGCCGCACACUUGACCCAGCACAGCUGAUAAUCGAACCAAGUUACUCCAGGGAUAACAGCGCCAUCUUCUUCAAGAGCCCAUAUCAAAAAGAAGGUUUACGACCUCGAUGUUGGAUCAGGACAUCCUAAUGGUGUAGCCGCUAUUAAGGGUUCGUUUGUUCAACGAUUAAUAGUCCUACGUGAUCUGAGUUCAGACCGGAGUAAUCCAGGUCGGUUUCUAUCUAUGACUAGCUAUGUUCAGUACGAAAGGAUCAACAUAGCAAAGCCAAUACUACAAGCACGCUUUAAUACAAACUACUAAAUAUCAAUAUAAUUAACCCACCCUAAGCCUAGACAAGGCUGCCUUAAGGAGUUCCCCUUAACAC
rnacentral:rRNA from 1 species